rnacentral:snRNA from 1 species
UGUACUAAAACGGGAACGAUGCAGAGAAAAUUAGCAUGGCCCCUGUGCAAGGAGGACACGCAAAUUCGUGAGGCGAGCGUUCCAUAA